CCUGGGCUACAGUGUUGGUGUUGGAGGGUUGGGUGGUGCUAGGCCUGGGCUACAGUGUUGGUGUUGGAGGGUUGGGUGGUGCUAGGCCUGGGCUACAGUGUUGGUGUUGGAGGGUUGGGUGGUGCUAGGCCUGGGCUACAGUGUUGGUGUUGGAGGGUUGGGUGGUGCUAGGUCUGGGCUACAGUGUUGGGUGCUAGGAGACGUACGGUGUGACAGGGACCUAUGGAGUGCCACUUGUUUACUUCCUUGACAGAGGACCACUAGUAUUCAAGAUCAUGGAUGCGUUGUUUUUUUGUCGACAUGGUAACACAUUGUGAUUUGUAAACUAUUUAAGUACAAAUGAUUUAGUUUGGAAGGACAAGAUUUAAUAAGAUAUUGUUUGUGAAAAUGACAUUGGAAUAAAAUGGAGUUGUUUAAUAACGGUUAUGAUCAUUAAAGAAUUGAAAUGAGUAGGCUACA